rnacentral:rRNA from 1 species
UACGAAGGGGGCUAGCGUUGCUCGGAAUCACUGGGCGUAAAGGGUGCGUAGGCGGGUUUAGUUACUCAGGGGUGAAAUCCUGGAGCUCAACUCCAGAACUGCCUUUGAUACUGAAGAUCUUGAGUCCGGGAGAGGUGAGUGGAACUGCGAGUGUAGAGGUGAAAUUCGUAGAUAUUCGCAAGAACACCAGUGGCGAAGGCGGCUCACUGGCCCGAUACUGACGCUGAGGCACGAAAGCGUGGGGAGCAAACAGG